GGGGCGAUGGCGUAGCUGGUUAUCGCAUCUGUCUAACAUGGCUUCUAUGUUCUGUAUGUUCACAGAAGGUCCUCAGUUCGAACCUGCGUCGACUCA